UAGUUUGAUUUGUAAAUAUUAUUUCAUCAGUAACAUUCUGUCUGUUAGUUCAUUAGAAUUUCCUGAUUUCUUGUGAGUCUGGUAACUUGUAAGUUGAAAUGUCAGACUCAGACCAUGAAGAGGAAAGUAUCUUGAACAAUCUAAACAAGACACGACAACUGUGGAGUUCAAAAGCUGACAUAGGAACCAUAGAUUACCUCGCACCUAAGUCACCUGUGGUUAAAACUGCUUCACCUAAAAGUCCCUCCAAUGAAAAGUUUCAAAAUGGUGGACAAGAAGCUACAACACAUACAACGCCUGCCGGAGUUGUGAAGGCCGAUGAACAGGUUGUUGAAGAUUAUGAGUUGCCCGACAUCAAGUCUAUGAGGUCACAAUGGGAGGUUUCGAAUGCAUCCCAACCUGCCCCAUCACCAAGUCAUAAAGCUCCUGCAGCAGUUGCAUUAGCAAGGGAAAAAUCUGUCAAACGACAAUUACUACCCGAGAAUAUUGUUCCUGUUAACCGAGAAGAAGUUAAAGAAGAAAACUAUGCCGUGGAACUUAAUAAACUGAAGGCACAGUUUGAAAACUCAUCCAAGUGUGUCGUAAUGAGCCGCAAUACUGCUAACUAUGCUAUGGUAGUUCGUGGUACGCGCUUACGUCGGUUGUGUAGCAAGUUUGAAACAAAGGAAACCCCAACACCAGUGGUGUAUACGAGUACCUGGAGUUCAUCAAAUGCGAAAUCAACUACCGUUGUUAAGUCUCCCAUCAGCAAAACAGCUAUCAAAGAUUCCGUUUCAAAGAAAAGUUCUUCACUAAAAGGAAAGUCUUCACAACCACAAAUGAAAAAAAUAAGGUUUCAAGAUGAAAUAUUUGUCCAACAACCUAAGACAAGCGAACCACGGGUGGAUGUGGACGGGGUUAAUGUGGAUUUAUCGAGCAUCAAGUCGCACUUCGAGAUGAGGAAAGAUGAACAGGCGGUGGCGCCAAGGAGCCCCGACACAAGGAACACACAUAUUGCUCGUACAACGGAACCAAUUAACCAUGUGACGUUAGAUGUUAUCCGCCCGGAUGACGCACCCACGGACGAGGUGUAUGAAGUUGAACUUGGUGAGUUAAAGAAAAAGUUCGAAAACUCGUCUGUUCCAAAACCAGAACAGAUUAAACCCAAGGAACCCGCGACAAAGGUUCAUUACGAAGUAAAGACGUCGUUAGAAGAUUCCCGCAACAUUGAAACGGUCAAGUCAUCGGAACCCGUGUAUGAUGAAAUGAUAGGGGAGGAUUCGGUUAAAGAUAGAUUGAAAAGAUACAAGUCUAUGACGCAGAGUGACGUCACAAACAGACCGAAGGUGGAACGUCGUACAUCACAGAAGAAAUCAAAUAAACCUGUUGUUACAACUCACACUGAAUCUACAACUGAAACUUCAAGUGUACAAGUGGCCACCGAGAUCGUGCGAUCGCCACCUGCCGGUACAAAGAUAACACCUGAUUACACACCCAGUACCGACCUUCGGCAAACUAAAGCUAUAUUUGAAACAAGCGACAACAAGCCAAGGCGAUCCCGACCCCCAUCUGCUAGCUCAGGCGGCGAUUCGAACAUUCAUUCCCCGCCACGAAUUGGUCGAAGCCCCGAUCCCCAACCCACCGCAUCAGCGCGUAGCACCAGUCGACACAGCACCGCAUCUACGUCAUCAAUAGGUCAAAGGUCACGUUCAAGGUCACCGGGUCAACAGCACAGCGAUAGAACGUCAAACGUCAGCGAGAACGAAGACAUGGCGGAUGUAGUUCGACCCCCACCCGCUGGUACAAAGGAAUCACCCGACUAUGUCCCUGCUGUUAAAGUAAGCUCCAUGAAAAGUAUGUUCGAAAAACCAUCUUCAACUGCGUCAUCACCUACGUCAUCAGCCCCCCCACCCCGAAGAUUAAAGAGCAAGGAUUGGGUGAACGGUAAUGAGGAGACAGUGAGUUACCCCAGUAGCGAUGAUGGCUCAAACCAACGUAAAGUUGUUGCUGAGGGUUCAUAUGAAGAGAAAGAAGGUAUCGGUGGUAUAGUGCGCCCUCCAACGGCAGGAACGAAGGAGCUUCCCGCUUACAGUUUGUCACAAGAUUUUCUCAAGUCACGUGCCGCUAUGUUUGACUCGCCCACUAAAACCGAAUAUACACCAAAGAACAAGAUCAAGGUGGAAAAGAAACCCGUUGUUGCGGACGUUGUUAACGAGGCGGGUAAGUCAGAGAUAGACGAAUACGUUCCUUCACAAAGUCUUAAAGACGCAAAGAAGGUUUUCGAGGAAGGGGCAUCCCCUUCUAAUGAACGACCUGUUCCCGCCAAACGAACGACGGAAGUUGUAGCGACACCAACCGGCGAAGUGGUGCGCCCUCCACCGGCAGGCACUCGUGACGACACCGAUAUCGUCCCCGCACAAAAUUUAAAAUCUGUGAAAGACAUGUUCGACCAACCGCAAGAUGUCGCACAAGAGGAGGAACGAAAGCAACCCAUUGAUAUUGAGACUGAAGCCAGGGAAGCUGUGGAGAGGGAGAGAGAACUUGCAAAGAAAGCAGCAGAAGGAACAACACAAGAACCCGAACCACAAGAACCAGAACCACAAGAACAGAACAAGAACCAGAACCACAAGAACCAGAACCACAAGAACCGGAACCACAAGAACCGGAACCACAAGAACCGGAACCACAAGAACCAGAACCACAAGAACCGGUUGAAACCAGUUCAACGUUGGAGCAAAACGAGCCCGAACCUGAGCCAGCAACCAGUUUGGAACCUGUUGAAAGUGGCGUCAACGAGCCUACUGUGACGUCACAAGAGGACACACCACGUGAUGAGUCGGACGAUGAAGGGGAAUAUGUAUUACAAACCACACAAGAAAAUAUUCAAGAGGGGGAAAUAUCUGAGCAACAUGAUGAAGCAGCUGCUGUUACGCCAGUUCGUGUGGCUGUACCAAGCCCCACACCUGAAGAUGAUCCAGAGACACAAGAAGCAGAAGUUAAUGAUAAAGAUAUUGCUGUCGAAGUUUCAAACAACGAAGAUGUGACGAAUGAAAACAACGAUUUAGCUGCAGAUGUGAAUGAACAUGCGCUACACACGGAUCAAUUAUAUCAAACUACUGAUCUAAUCACAGAGGACCAAGUGUCGCAAGCACAAGAUAUUGAAACAAACCAAGUUGAAGUGAAUGAAGACGUUUCAUCGAAACAAAUGAAACAAGAACCAGUCGUCACCAACGGUGUUGAAACAGAUGACAACACCACAGCAGUUGAGUAAUAUUCAAUGUACAAACAUUGGUAAAACAUUCAGCGCUAUGCGCCACACACACACACACACACAUACAUACAAACACACACACAUACAAACAUAUACAUACAUAGCCUCAGUAAUACAUGAAACAACAUUCCACGUCACCAAACGUUGUGAGUAUAUUGCUUGUGCAAUGUGCAUGUAAGCGCUUGGAACAGCUCAGCUGUUCCAGCCUUUUGUACUCACUCCCUAAGUUUGCAUGUUUUGAAAGCAUGACACGUGAUGCGUGGUGUAUUCAACAAAACGUUUUUAAAACUUUGUUGAUCAAAUGAAACAUUUUACAAAGUUAACUUAUAUCUUUGCAGGUUAAAUAACGUACACUGAUUUUAAACUAACUCUUUACUUCGUUUUAUACGAAACAGUUUUAUCUACUAACGUGGCUGGCCUGCAUGUUCUGUAUAACUGCAUGCACUAACCGUACAUUGACGACUAACCAGUGUUUUGUUUCGAACCAUCUUUCAUUACAACUUAUGUUGUCGCUCAUGUUAGUGUUGUCAUUCAUUUAUCGCGCUGCAGUGUCACGUGUGUAUGACGUCACAAUGGUGAUGACGUCGUAAUAUCUCAAAAUGAGUGAUUUCCCGCAUCAGCUGCCCGUUGUAAAUAUGAAUAGAUUUGAAAUUAUUUGACGAUAUUGUUAAGCUUGCGCUGCGACAUUGUAUUUAUGCUCGAUCGUAUUAUUGAUAACACCGGCACAACUGAUGUGCAAACAGUCGAACUUGUGCUGAAACUGAUCGCCAAAACCCGAUGUAUUUUCUAUAUUCGCGCGGAAAUUUCACCGUUCGUGUGUUUUAUGUUUAUUUCCCGAAUUCGGAUCGGAAUUAUUUUAUUCAGCAAGCCUAAUAAUUUAAUCACGCCAUCAUUUAUUUAUGUGAAUAUUUAUAAAAUUGUGACGUAACACUGAUAUAAACUUAUUUCGGUUUUAAUGACGUCAUUAUAAUAAAGUUUCGUCAGUAUUUUGUCAUUGUUGUGUUAUUACGUCACGAAUAUAAUCGAAGCAAAACGAAUACAAUAUAUGAUUCUAUACAGAAA